CUGGGGCCGUCUGAGCGGGAAGCGGUGGGGGGGGGGGCUCUGCGACCUCAAAGAGUCUCCGUGCGUGGACGCCACGUGACCAGCGUUGUUGACUUUGCGUGUCCGAUUGUGUGCUUGGCAAACAGGUUUAUCCGAGGCCACCUUGUUCCCACCUGCCGGGUCGAGAGCUGUGCGGUGGGAGGCUGAGGACUGGGCUAUGCCCAGUGUGUGCCCGGUGCCUCCGGCUCCCCCGGGGUACUCCCACCCGGAGACGCCGGCCUCUCGGGGAAACGAAACGCCCACGAGGAGUCAGCCUCUUUGUCCUUCCCGGGUUCGGGCUGCUCUCCUCCGGGGACCUUCCCUCCGUGGGCAGAUGGUUUUCUCCAGGAAGGCGACUCGGGGCCACCACCAAAGACUUUCUGCAACUUUCUGGAAGCUCUUAUCAAGCAGCCACAUCUUUGCGUAUUUGCAGGGACUGUGGGAACCAUUUCCUGGGGAGAACGUGGUUGGAUUCCCAAGACCCGGCGCCCGGAGACCUCGCUCCUCCUGCGGGGCCCUCUGAGCUCCAGCUUGGGCCCUUGAGAGGCCCAGGCUGUCCCCUGACCCACGGAAAACUGGGCUGUGAAAAGUCAGAGAUGAACUCGGGAGGUGAGUGGAAUCUGUAGAGGUGUGUGUGGCCUGGUGAGUGUGCGGGUGCGUCGCAAUGAGUGCAUGUGUACGUGUGCGUGCAUGUGUGUAUGUGCGUAUACAUGUGUGCACGCAGUGUGUGGGGGCAGGCAGAGAAGGCUGGGCUGGUGGUGUUGUGGCAGAAGUGGCCUGGAGACGAGAGGAUGGUGGUGGGGGCGGUCCAUGCCUGGUGCCACGCCGGUCCCGUAUAAACGCUCUCCCUUCGUCCUCCCCAGGGCCUUCAAAGCAGCUGUCUUCACUCGUCUCACGUUCUGAUAAGGAGCCUGUGUCCCGGAGCGGUUGAGCAGUGCGCUCAAGGUCACUCAGGGAGUCCACCGUGGGACCUGGCUUGAGGCCCAGCAUCCCUGUGAGGGAUGUGAGGGGACUCCAACAGGACUGUCCUGUCCUGUCUAGCUCGGGGCCAUGGCCUGUUGCUUGGCUGGUGGUGGGGCGAGCUGGGAGGGGGUGCUGGGGGCCCCAGCCCCUUCCUUGGUGAUUAUGCAGCUUCCCCGCCCGGCCCCUUUCUGGGCAGACCCGUCGCAGCCCGCGCUGCCCCCCGCGCUGUGGCAGGCGGCAGUGGGCCUCUGAGAUGCUGGCGCGGCCCCUGCGCUAAUAGGGCCGUCUGGGGUGGCCUCGGGGCUCCGAGCUGACUGUGCUGUCUUCCCCGCCCGCCUUUUCUUCUGCACGGCUCCCCGGCCGGCCCUCCCCGCCCCGCCCGCCGGCUGCCGCUGCUGCAAAGCCCGCUGGCCGGCCGGCCGGCCGAGCUAAUUGGGCGGAGAAAGAGCCCGAUUGUCUGCGGCCGGAAGCGCGGGCGUGGGCGCGGGGAGCGCGAGGUGGCCGCUUCGGCCCGCAGCUGCCAGCGCCGGUUGCCGGUUACGUCACCGCGGGCGGGUGGG
rnacentral:lncRNA from 1 species